rnacentral:rRNA from 1 species
UACGAAGGGUGCAAGCGUUACUCGGAAUUACUGGGCGUAAAGCGCACGUAGGCGGAUUUGUAAGUCAGGGGUGAAAUCCCGGGGCUCAACCUCGGAACUGCCUUUGAUACUGCAAAUCUCGAGUCCGGAAGAGGUGAGUGGAAUUCCUAGUGUAGAGGUGAAAUUCGUAGAUAUUAGGAAGAACACCAGUGGCGAAGGCGGCUCACUGGCCCGAUACUGACGCUGAGGCACGAAAGCGUGGGGAGCAAACAGG